rnacentral:rRNA from 1 species
UACGGAGGGGGCUAGCGUUGUUCGGAAUUACUGGGCGUAAAGCGCACGUAGGCGGCUUUGUAAGUUAGAGGUGAAAGCCCAGGGCUUAACCCUGGAAUUGCCUUUAAGACUGCAUCGCUAGAAUCGUGGAGAGGUGAGUGGAAUGCCGAGUGUAGAGGUGAAAUUCGUAGAUAUUCGGCGGAACACCAGUGGCGAAGGCGACUCACUGGCCCGAUACUGACGCUGAGGCGCGAAAGCGUGGGGAGCGAACAGG